CUCAGUAACACGUGGCCAAACUACCCUGUCGAUCGGGACACCCUCGGGAAACUGAGGCUAAUCCCGGAUACGGCUCGCUGCCUGGAGGUGGCGCGAGCUCGAAACGUUCAGGCGCGACAGGAUGUGGCUGCGGCCGAUUAGGUAGACGGUGGGGUAACGGCCCACCGUGCCGAUAAUCGGUACGGGUUGUGAAAGCAAGAGCCCGGAGACGGAAUCUGAGACAAGAUUCCGGGCCCUACGGGGCGCAGCAGGCGCGAAACCUUUACACUGCACGCGAGUGCGAUAGGGGGACUCCAAGUGCGAGGGCAUACAGUCCUCGCUUUUCACCACCGUAAGGAGGUGGUAGAAUAAGUGCUGGGCAAGACCGGUGCCAGCCGCCGCGGUAAUACCGGCAGCACGAGUGAUGACCGCUAUUAUUGGGCCUAAAGCGUCCGUAGCCGGCCAGGCAAGUCCAUCGGGAAAUCCGCACGCCUAACGUGCGGGCGUCCGGUGGAAACUGCUUGGCUUGGGACCGGAAGAUCCAGAGGGUACGUCUGGGGUAGGAGUGAAAUCCUGUAAUCCUGGACGGACCACCGGUGGCGAAAGCGCUCUGGAAAGACGGAUCCGACGGUGAGGGACGAAAGCUUGGGUCACGAACCGGAUUAGAUACCCGGGUAGUCCAAGCUGUAAACGAUGUCUGCUAGG
rnacentral:rRNA from 1 species